AGAGUUUGAUCAUGGCUCAGGAUGAACGCUAGCGGCAGGCUUAAUACAUGCAAGUCGAGGGGCAGCAUGAUUGUAGCAAUACAAUUGAUGGCGACCGGCAAACGGGUGCGGAACACGUACACAACCUUCCAACAAGUGGGGGAUAGCCCAGAGAAAUUUGGAUUAAUACCCCGUAACAUAGCGAUGUGGCAUCACAUUGCUAUUAUAGAUUUUUCGCUUGUUGAUGGGUGUGCGGCUGAUUAGAUAGUUGGCGGGGUAACGGCCCACCAAGUCUACGAUCAGUAGCUGAUGUGAGAGCAUGAUCAGCCACACGGGCACUGAGACACGGGCCCGACUCCUACGGGAGGCAGCAGUAAGGAAUAUUGGACAAUGGACGCAAGUCUGAUCCAGCCAUGCCGCGUGAAGGAUUAAGGUCCUCUGGAUUGUAAACUUCUUUUAUAAGGGACGAAAAAAGGCUUUUCUAAGUCGUCUGACGGUACCUUAUGAAUAAGCACCGGCUAACUCCGUGCCAGCAGCCGCGGUAAUACGGAGGGUGCAAGCGUUAUCCGGAUUCACUGGGUUUAAAGGGUGCGUAGGCGGGCAGGUAAGUCAGUGGUGAAAUCCUAGAGCUUAACUCUAGAACUGCCAUUGAUACUAUCUGUCUUGAAUAUUGUGGAGGUAAGCGGAAUACGUCAUGUAGCGGUGAAAUGCUUAGAUAUGACAUAGAACACCUAUUGCGAAGGCAGCUUACUACGCAUAUAUUGACGCUGAGGCACGAAAGCGUGGGGAUCAAACAGGAUUAGAUACCCCGGUAGUCCAA
rnacentral:rRNA from 1 species